UACGUGGGGGAGAAAUAUUUGAGAGCGUGUGUAUUUUCCUUUUAAGCAUCCCUAAUGAGAACCACUCUGUUGUUAUGGUAUGCCUAAAGACCGGCCAGGAGACACACUAUCUUUAGUGAUAAAUUUACGAGCUCAAGGGGCUAUCUUUAGUGACUCAUUUAUGAGCUCAGACACCCCCCUUUUUUUCAGUUAUGCUGGCUUCCACCCCUCCCCCUUUCCUUCUCCCUUCCCCUAAUUCACCAGCAGAAGCCAACGAAAUAACUGACAAGAGCCUAGAUGGAAGGCAGAAACGGAGAACAUUUCUAGAGACUCCUGCAUGAGAAAAGGGCCCGGGAAUCAGGAGAGGUCCUGCCAUCCAUCCGCAGGCCAGAGGACAGAACAGCAAAGGCAGAGUAGGAGACCAGUCUCUACCCACAGCUUACGUGACGAUAAUGUCUGUAUUGUCUAAGGCCAAACCUCCCCAUCUCCACAUCAAUGAAAACGUUUUAAGAAGAAAAACCAUCCUAGCCAGCAGGUUUCUGAAGGCUGCAUGGAUCCCACAGGAUGGCUGUUCUGGGAGGAUGUUCUGGACCCUCUAGGAAGUCACAGGUAUGAUUGAAAGGGUUGGGGGGAAGAGAGGACUGGAGCUGAAGAUUCGCCAACCAAGCCCAGGGGAGCAGAAGAAUUCCGUGAGUUACCAGAUGGGAUAAAAAGACAAACAUGUUUUAGUGACAAAAAAACAAACAAACAAACACAAAACAGAAAAACCUUCAAAGUAGUUACAUCCCAACAUCCUUUUGUCUAGGAAAAAGAUGGCAGGGGGAAGGGGGGAGGGAGAGAGAGAGAGAGAGAGAGAGAGAGAGAGAGAGAGAGAGAGAGAGAGAGAGAGAAAUGAAUGAAUCUGGUCUAUGCAGCACCCUCUGUGCUUCCUAAGCUGCUGUGUGGGGUCUCCACUGUACCCCCACCAAAUGCUGACAGGCCCAGUCAAUGUGCCAAGUGCAGUUCCCAGGGGACCCCACAGAAAGAGUAUGAAUUUGGACAAAAAUGGUGUUUCCACCGGCACCUGCUCCCCAUCCCACCUCAGCGACACAGGAAGCCGUUAUAGAAGACAGAGUUCUUGGUACAGCUCCAGGCACCUAGCCAUCUGUCAUUGUCUAGUCCGCCCCACUCAAAUCACUCAAAUGUUUAUAAGUCAAACUUUCAAAUUCCUUCUGUCUCCCAUGGAUUAAAUGAAUCAUUUAUCAAAAUGAGAUUUUUCUGGAUUAUAUUUCCAUGGUCAGCUCUGCCCGGGAUUUAAAAGUCUCACUCAGGAAAAAGGCUAUGCCGUGCUUGCUUGUCAGAGGGAAACCCAGGAGCAAGUUCAGUUUUCAUGCUGUCUGAAGCUGUAGGUCAAGAAGCUUGUGACUUCUUUGGAGGGGACCGCCUCCUUCUUGCCUUGGUAUUCAACACGUGUGAUAGAGCAGAUGUGUGUCAGCGCCACAAGGAUCUGCUCUUGCCAAGUUCAUACACCACUCUACUUUAAACAUAGGUGUGCAGUGCUCUGUAGAGCACGCAUCAGCAUCUACUGCUUUAGGCCUUGGUUUUUAGAGAAGAGGUUCUAUUUUCAUUGAGCUCAUCCCUCGAGCACGAGUUUGCCAGGACUUCAGCAAUGGUCUGCCUCAAACCCUUCAUUUUUCCUUUGGAAAUGGAGGGUUCCUCUGAAGUAAAACAUUCACCUGUGACAGACUGAGGUUUGCAGCAAUAUCUUGCAGUCUUUGGACACCUAGCUACACCUGUAAGUCACCCUGGCAAUGUGUGCAUGAGUUGGAAGCCAGAAACCAACAUCGGUUCACUAGUUUGUCUAGACCGGCCGGCUAGAGAGCUUUAAGAACCUGCCAUUCUCUACCCUGUAUCCUAGGGAUUUACAGGUCAGGCCAGCCGUGCCUGGAUUUUGUGUGGGUUGCUGGGAAUCUAGACUUGGGUCCUCAUGUUUAUGGCAAGUGGAAAGCAUGGAAUCUCAUGAAGUCACCUCUCCAGCCCCAUCACACUUAUUUGAAUAGAAGCAUUUUUGUUACCAUCUAAUGGGAGCUGCAGGACAGCUUGUGACCGUCUGUCCGGUGAGAGGCAUAACUAUUUACUGUCCAGCGCUCAAACUUCAGAUGUUAAAGCGAAGUGGCUAUGUCAAUCAGUACUCACGCUGACUGCGGUGACUCACGGGGCAGUACUGUGGCCCUGGAGGACUACAGUGGUUAGAUGACCUCUUCUGUACUAGGCCAGUGGCUUCUGCCCAUCUUCAUCACAAAGCUCCACAGGUCAUACAGAAAGAUGUGGGCAAGCAAGACACACUCUUCUGUUGGAUAAAAGCGUUAUGCAAGGGUCUUGUGGGCAGGAGAUAUCAGUUCCAUUUUACCUCCAAAGAAGCUGCACUGAGUUGAAAUGGUCAGAUGGCAUAAAUGAGGGAAUAGAAAUAUUUACUGGUGUAAACCAAUGUGGUCAACGUGGCUGGGAGGUGUGAAUCUUUAUUUUAGUGGAUUCUUUAAUAAGACUUUCCAAAAUGUGGAUGAUGUUGCCACAUAAAAUGCAAUAUAAAAGUAUCUUGGAAGAAUCUGUUAAUCUUCUUAUUUUGGCUAAAUGAUCCCCCCAGAUGGAUGUGGACUCAAGACUCAGAUCCAAUCCUGGCUGUGCCGAGUGAAGAAAUGGAAAUAAGUUUGAAAGGUGGGGACUCAGAGUGGAAACUUUCUUCCUCUUCGCUUUCCAACUUAGGCUCCUCUCAGACGAGUUAGGCAGCGCUCAGAUCCCUCAGUGGGAGAGGAGGAUUUCCAAGCAGAAAAUUUCAUUUUCAGCGCCAAGGGCCUCUUGUCUCUAGGACAACAUUUUGUUCCUUUCUUGCAUACUCUCACCUCUCUCUAUGCCUUUGCUUGACUAUUUGCUGACCAGCCAUUUCAUUCGUAUUUCUCCAUUGCGACAGACACGCUAAAGUCUGAGGGUUUUUCUGCACGGGGUUUUGUGUUCAAGUGAACUAAGGUCAAAUCCUGUGUUCUGUAAAAGUUGUCAACGUAUUUCCAAAUAAGGACUUGGAAGAAGAUGAAAGCGAGGAGAACACAGUCAGCUUAUCACUCUUGGGCACACGGUUUCCAUCACAGGCAAAUCCUCCUUCUGGAUCACUUUCUUUCCCCCGAGUUCAAUUUCACUUCAGCCAGUGUCUUCUUGUUUUCAUUUAUCCAAAUGUUUUUCCUAUAUAGAGCUGAGAUAAUCUCUUAAGCAUAGAUGCAUAUACACUCAAGGUGCUCAGUCCCUGGCUGCUUUACUCCAGAGGUGGAUUCUUGGUGGAUCCUCUGGGACACGCAGUGCAAAUAGAGCUCAGAGUAGCAUUACACACACACACACACACACACACACACACGGCUUUGCCGGGUAAACAGAGGAGGCAGGGGAAGACUUUAGCCUCAGAGUCAGCCUUAUUCCACUCACAAGAGGAUCAAAUGGAGACAAACUCCAUCCAUGCAAACUUGGCUCUUGACUUCUGGACAAUGGCUUUCUCUCUUGCCCUUUGAGCAGCAACAACUUGUAACAUAAGAGAUUAACACAAGGCAAUAGCAGCCCCCAAGAAGAGCAUCGGACAGAAAGACCCUCAAACAAAUUAUCGCCUUUGAGUCUCAUGACUUACAACAUCAAUUUAGAACAUAAAUCCUUUGGCUAGAGAGAGAACUCAGCAGUUAAGUGCAUGCUUUGCUCUUGCAGAGGACCCAAGUUUGACUCCCAGCAGCCAUGUUGGGUGGCUCACAACAACCGGUAGCUACAGCUCCAGAGGAUCUCCCAUCCUCUUCUGGACUCUGCGGGCAACGGUACUUAUAUGCCCCAUACCCCAGAUAGAUACACACUCAUCUACACAAUUAAAAAUAAAAACAAAUAUCUAAAGCACAUAGCCAAAGGUAAAGAGAAAGGGGAGACCUGGGAGAUGUUUACAUUUCAGAAGCUCAAAGACCGCAUGUUUGGAAUCCUUGGUUAUGCGGAGAGGAUGCAUCCCCAUCUUUAGUCCUCUUCAAUGUGUGAUCUUCUAACAGACAGGCAUGUUUUAAGGACCAGCAUUGAAGAUUUGGCAGAAGAGUCCAAUGAAUGGAGUGGAGGAGCCUACAGCCAACAGUAUUUGCUCAUGCUAUGGGGAAGAUGCAGAGUGUGUGUGUAGCUCACCCAUUAAACUUUGAGUUUCAUCAGCCUGCCUCAGAGCUGACACUCACUGAUGGCCGAUUAGGAACACGGAGCACACUCAGUGCUUGGUGUGUCCCUGCAGUUGGUGUGCAACACCCUUAUACCCUCAUAUCUCAUGAGUGUUUGUUGCCCCUGGUGCCAAUCACGGUUCUCCAUGGGAACACAAGUAAUGGUCGAGAGAGACAAGGAUGUGGGAGACUUACUGAGGGAAUUGGAACUCACGACUAGAGGAGCCAAGCAUUCUCAUGCUAUACUACCUUGAAGCUAGAGGCCACAGAGUGUUGACAGGGCUUGGUCCAAGACUGAAGGCCUCAGAGCUAAUGAAAUCAAUCAAUGGUGCCAUGUUCAUACGUAGGUUCCUGGCCUGAGAACCUGGGAAGACAAGAUUCUGGUAUAAAUUCUGGAGUCCAAAGCCUAAACAGUCCGAAGUCCUGGUUUCCAAGAGCACAAGAAAAGGGCUGUUGCUCUCAGAAAGACAAGGUGAGUGAGUCAUGGCUCAUGUGUGGAAGUCAGAGGACAGCUCAGAGCAGCCAGCUCUCUCCUUCGAUCACGCAGCCUCUGGAGAUCAAACCCAGCCCACCAGGCUUGGUGGCACAUGCCUUCAACUGUUGAGUCAUCUUGCUGGCUCCAAUAAAGGUUGAUUUUUUUUUAAGUCAGUAGGCAGACAACAUAUAAAUCAAAUUGGAUACCAAGUCAAACCAAUAUCCACAAAACGCCAUGUCAGGAUGGCAUGUUAUUCAUUUUAGGAAACACCAAGAAUUUUAGCGAUAUUGACUGAAUUGAAAUAAAAAGUCUCCUGAACCCUGUAAGAACUUACCAUCUCUCCGGCAUCAUUUCCUAAACGUACCACACUUACGUUCUGUGUCAUGGCCAUGACAAAGACUCCCUUGUCACCCACUGUCCUUAAUCUUCCUCCCUUAGAAUGCUUUUAGCUGAGGACCUCUGAAGUCAGCCUUCUCUGUGUUUUGUUUUUAAGUGUUAUUUCUUCAAAGGAGCCCAGUGCCAGGAACGGGUCACCUCUGUUGGAGCUGUUGGCCAGUGAAAUCCCACAAGUCUGCCUUCAAACAAAAGACCAAGAAGCUAUGUGUUGGGUUAGCCUCAAGAACUUGACAAUACGAUCUGAUUACUGAAGACUCCACAUAAGACCAAUGAGAAAUCAAGCUGAUACCCACAGAGUCCAUCCCUACCUAAGGAGCUCUUGACAACUGAUAACUUCUUGGGGGCGGGGAGGGUGGGGAGUUGGUUGACUUGCAAUCAUGCUCUGUUGGGUGCCCUGAACCCAAGUGCACAUGGGCAGAACACUGCAUUUGCUUUUUUUGUUUUUUUUUUUUUAAGACAUAAAGUUGGGUGCUUAGGGAACAGGGUAGAUAUGGUAGGAGCUGGGAGUAGAUAUCAAUAUGAUAAAAAUAUCCUACAAAAUUCUCAAAGAACUAAUAAAAACUGGGGGCGGGGAAGAAAGGUCUUCUAGACACUCCCCAGUUGUCAGCUUCCUAUCCACCUCCUCAUAUCACCCGGCUGUUUGCUUUGCCCCAUUUGUAACUAAGCUCUAUCUUUCCUGUGUGUAGACUGACAUCUCUGCACACAUGCAAGAUCUUUUACCCUGUAGGUGUCCAGUUCAUCCUGCUACAUGGGUGAGGAAGUACAGAGAUGAACCCAAGUCUCUGGAACAGGCACCCUGUCUCUCACUGGGCUCGACACCUGGUUUUCUGCUGCAACUCAUCCCACCCAAACCAGCCGCACUUCCCAGCCACACAAAGCACCACCCCACACUGAGGACAGCAGAGGGAGUCAUGCAGAUAGUGAGGAGGCAGCUUUUCCUCCUUAUCCAAUAGGGAAAAAAAAAAUCCUCAAGAGUGACCUCAACGCCUGCUACAAAUUAGUUGCCAAAAAAAUAUUUGCUUAACUCUUGAACUGUGUGCUUGGGAAAUAAAAGGGAAUUUAUUCUUGCUUUGUAACCAGACCCUUGAGAAAUACCCGCUGUACUUCCCCAGCUCCCUUGAGAAUUACCUGGACACCCUAUGCCCUGCCCUUUCUUAUCCCUUCUAUUAAAUGAGAUAUUUGUGUUUUAAAUGAAGACCAUUGUUGGCCCAUCAUCGGUGGGAAAGCAUCACUGUGCACACAUUCCUCCUGUAAUAAAAAAAAAUAAAUCCCUUAAGCCUA